GCGAAGGCGGAAAACAGAUUUAAACUGAGUUUGAAAGACUAGUUCGGUUUGCCAGUACUGUGAGGCAACGUCGUUACCGAAGAGGUCUGGAUGGUAAAACAAACUUUGGAGAUGCUUUUUUUGUCGAACUGCAGUGAGACUGGACGCUGAACAGACCUGCGGCGCUAAGGUGUUGUACUUGUGUUUUUCAUGUUUACUGGUUCAGCCUGGACACAAACAUCAGCUCUCACCUGACAAACCAAACAGGUGUCACCACUUCGUCCACGAUACAGGCUUUGUACAAUGAGGAAGUUCUUUGAGACCAGAACUGAGGCCUUCAGGAUUCAAACUUCAACCAUUAAAUCACAGAGAGAAGAGAGAGAUAUGAAGACAUUUCCAGAAGGUCUUCAGCUGCUGUCAUCUUCUCAUCCUGCAGAGACAAGAACACGUGUUAAUCACAGAAAUCGAUCAGUAAAACUAUUUUUCUUU